rnacentral:rRNA from 1 species
AUGGUCAGCGCACUAGCUUCUGGAGCGACUGAUGGUUCGACGACCAGGCUUUGCGGCACACGGCUCCAGACAUCUUCAAGCUAUCCAGGUGCAGAAACAUCAAGGUUUCUCACUCAUGUUUGGUUGCGUCUGGGCCAGGCACGCUUGCAAGCCGACAUCGAGGACACCCUCAGUUGGGUGUGGACCCCAUCCAAUGUAUACACCGCUGCUUCCUCGUACCACUGCCAGUUCUUUGGUUCUUUCUCACGCAUCAGUUUUUACAAACUUUGGAAAGCAUCAGUUCCUCCCAAAUGCCGGUUUUUCGUGCGGUUAUGGCUUCGUGGUAGAGUCCUAACUAAUGACAACCUGGAGAUUCAUGGCAUUCCCCACAGUUAUGCUUGCAACCUAUGCGAUCAGGAGGACGAAUCACCUAUAUAUGCACCUUAUUCUCAAAUGCCCCUAUGCUAG